GAGUUUGAUCCGGCUCAGAGUGAACGCUGGCGGCGUGCUUAACACAUGCAAGUCGAACGAGAACGGUACUAGCUUGCUAGUAUGUCAGCUAGUGGCGGACGGGUGAGUAAUGUAUAGUUAAUCUGCCCUUCAGAGGGGGAUAACUACUGGAAACGGUAGCUAAUACCCCAUAUACCUUCUGCCUUAAUGGUAGUUGGGAAAUGUCUUUUCGCUGAAGGAUGAGACUAUAUGGUAUCAGGUAGUUGGUGGGGUAAGAGCCCACCAAGCCUAUGACGCCUAGCUGGUCUGAGAGGAUGAUCAGCCACACUGGANCUGAGACACGGUCCAGACUCCUACGGGAGGCAGCAGUGGGGAAUAUUGCACANUGGAGGANACUCUGAUGCAGCAACGCCGCGUGGAGGAUGANANAUUUCGGUGCGU
rnacentral:rRNA from 1 species